UGAAUACGAGAUGCUACGGCGUCGAAGCAGUCUAUGUCAUACUUCCAAGAAAAGCUUGCACUGUCAUAAACAAAUAAUGCCUGUACCAUAACCGACACAGGUGGGUAGGUAGAGUAUACUAAGGGGCGCGAGAUAACUCUCUCUAAGGAACUCGGCAAAAUGACUCCGUAACUUCGGGAGAAGGAGUGCCUUAUUUUAUAAGGUUGCAAUAACAAGAUCCAAGCAACUGGUUACCAAAAACACAGGUCUCCGCUAAGUCGUAAGACGAUGUAUGGGGGCUGACGCCUGCCCAGUGCCAGAAGGUUAAAGAAGUUGGUUAGCAUCCGCGAAGCUGAUAACUGAAGCCCUGGUGAACGGCGGCCGUAACUAUAACGGUCCUAAGGUAGCGAAAUUCCUUGUCGGGUAAGUUCCGACCCGCACGAAAGGCGUAAUGAUUUGGAUACUGUCUCAGAGAGGGGCUCGGUGAAAUAGACUUGUCUGUGAAGAUGCGGACUACCUGCACCAGGACAGAAAGACCCUAUGAAGCUUUACUGUAACUUGAAAUUGAAAUUGGACUUUACUUGCGCAGUAUAGGUGGGAGGCGUUGAGAAUAUUCUUGCGGGAAUGUUGGAGCCAUCAGUGAGAUACCACUCUUGUAAUGUUAGAUUUCUAACUUUGUAUCAUUAUCUGGUCAAAGGACAGUUUCAGGCGGGCAGUUUGACUGGGGCGGUCGCCUCCCAAACGGUAACGGAGGCGCACAAAGGUUUCCUCUGAACGGGUAGAAAUCGUAUCUAGAGUGUAAAGGCAUAAGGAAGCUUGACUGUGAGACCUACAAGUCGAGCAGGGACGAAAGUCGGUCUUAGUGAUCUGACGGUGCUGAGUGGAAAGGCCGUCACUCAACGGAUAAAAGUUACUCUAAGGAUAACAGGCUGAUCUCCCCCAAGAGUUCACAUCGACGGGGAGGUUUGGCACCUCGAUGUCGGCUCAUCGCAUCCUGGGGCGGUAGUACGUCCCAAGGGUUGGGCUGUUCGCCCAUGAAAGCGGUACGCGAGCUGGGUUCAGAACGUCGUGAGACAGUUCGGUCCAUAUCCGGUGUAGGCGUUAGAAUAUUGAGAGGAGCCUUCUUUAGUACGAGAGGACCGAGAAGGACAUACCUCUGGUGUACCAGUUAUCGUGCCAACGGUAAACGCUGGGUAGCUAUGUAUGGAGUGGAUAACCGCUGAAAGCAUCUAAGUGGGAAGCCCACCUCAAGAUAAGUAUUC
rnacentral:rRNA from 1 species